AGUCUGGUGCCAGCAGCCGCGGUAAUUCCAGCUCCAAUAGCGUAUAUUAAACUUGUUGCAGUUAAAAAGCUCGUAGUUGAAUUUCUGCGUCACCGUAUUUUGACUUUUGUCGACUGUCGGUUUCGCUUUUGGGAUUUAUCCCUUUUUACUUUGAGAAAAUUAGAGUGUUUCAAGCAGACUUUUGUCUUGAAUACUUCAGCAUGGAAUAAUAGAGUAGGACUUUGGUUCUAUUUUGUUGGUUUGUGAACCUUAGUAAUGGUUAAUAGGAACGGUUGGGGGCAUUCGUAUUUAACUGUCAGAGGUGAAAUUCUUAGAUUUGUUAAAGACGAACUA
rnacentral:rRNA from 1 species